rnacentral:lncRNA from 1 species
UCAAACCAGGACGCUCAUUCCAAGGCACAGCAGUCACACAAUCCACUUUAAAGGAGAGAAGUCCAGGCCCUGCCGGCUCUUGGCCGGAACCGUCAUAAGGUCUCGCGAGAGCUUUCCCACCACCGCGAGCCCACAGAAUCACUAGUUCCGGUCUCCUAUCUUAGCACUCACCCUUCUCUCCUUCCUCCUCUACUGCUAGCCGCGCCGGAACUUUUGUUGGUAGGAACGAGUUUAUACAGUUGAGUGUUGCUGGCCGGCAUCGAGGAGAAUUGGGUGCCGUCCUCUUCCUGUCGCCGUCGUAGCGGCGGAGCGGAGCCGAGCUGAUCUGAUCCCGGAGCGCGGUUAUCUGACCGGCUGGGUCUAUGGUCGCUCCGCGAGCCGCUCCGCCGGCUGGUGCUUUUUUAUCAGGGCAAACUGUGUUCCAUGGCAGGGAACUUUUGGCAGAGCUCCCACUAAGGAAGGGUCUGCUUGGCUUUAUUCAAAUCCUUUGAGAAUCAUGGAAUUCCUGAUCUACCCAAGGUAAUAAGUAGGAAA